UAGGAUUUCCUUAGUAGCUGCGAGCGAACAGGGAAGAGCCCAGCACUAAAUCCCGUGGCCGAUAUCGGACACCGGGAAAUGUAGUGUUUAGGAGGAUUCAUUAUCCUGAGAUUGUGCAAUGCGUCCAAGUCCUUCUUGAACGGGGCCACAGCCCAUAGAGGGUGCCAGGCCCGUAGUGACUAUUGCCAAUUGCAGGAGAGUCUCUCCAUAGAGUCGGGUUGCUUGAGAGUGCAGCCCUAAGUGGGUGGUAAACUCCAUCUAAGGCUAAAUAUGACCACGAGACCGAUAGCGAACAAGUACCGUGAGGGAAAGUUGAAAAGCACUUUGAAGAGAGAGUUCAAGAGUACGUGAAACCGUUCAGGGGUAAACCUGAGAAACCCGAAAGGUCGAAAGGGGAAAUUCAUUCGUGUCUCGGUGAAUGGCAAGCAGUGGAAUGUAGGAUGGCAAUUUAUCUGUUAUUCACAUCUACUGUUUGAAUCUAUUUCCGAAUGCGUGCACUUUUCCUCUAGUAGGACGUCGCGAUCCGUUGAGUGUCGGUCUACGGCUCAUGUUGGAGCCCGUUCGGUCAGCUUGCUGUACUUGAACGGACACAUGAUGUUUCCUGGCCGGCUCGCUCGACGGUGUACAGAUGGCGCAGAGCCGCGACACAGUUCGCGUUCGGCCUGCAGCAAGCACGUACGGUUUUGUUGGUGAUCGGACCUAGUGCCGUUCCCGACUACGGACGUCUGUUGGCUGUAGUGUUCUCGAACAGACUCUGAUUGUAACGCCGAUCUGCGGCGCAAUAGAUUUGGGUACUUUCAGGACCCGUCUUGAAACACGGACCAAGGAGUCUAGCAUGUGCGCAAGUCAUUGGGACAUAACUAAACCUAAAGGCGCAAUGAAAGUGAAAGUUCGUCUUGCGCGAACAUAGGGAGGAUGAGUGGUUUUAGCCCUUAAAGUGGCCAUUCCGCACUCCCGGGGCGUCUCAUUCUCAUUGCGAGAAGAGGCGCACCAAGAGCGUACACGCUGGGACCCGAAAGAUGGUGAACUAUGCCUGGUCAGGACGAAGUCAGGGGAAACCCUGAUGGAGGUCCGUAGCGAUUCUGACGUGCAAAUCGAUCGUCUGAACUGGGUAUAGGGGCGAAAGACUAAUCGAACCAUCUAGUAGCUGGUUCCCUCCGAAGUUUCCCUCAGGAUAGCUGGCGCUCGUUGCGCACGAGUCUCAUCCGGUAAAGCGAAUGAUUAGAGGCAUUGGGGUCGAAACGACCUCAACCUAUUCUCAAACUUUAAAUGGGUGAGAUCUCCGGCUUGCUCGAACUUAUGAAGCCGAGAGAUACGGAUCAGAGUGCCAAGUGGGCCAUUUUUG
rnacentral:rRNA from 1 species